rnacentral:rRNA from 1 species
GAUGAACGCUGGCGGCGUGCCUAAUACAUGCAAGUCGAGCGAACGGACGAGAAGCUUGCUUCUCUGAUGUUAGCGGCGGACGGGUGAGUAACACGUGGAUAACCUACCUAUAAGACUGGGAUAACUUCGGGAAACCGGAGCUAAUACCGGAUAAUAUUUUGAACCGCAUGGUUCAAAAGUGAAAGACGGUCUUGCUGUCACUUAUAGAUGGAUCCGCGCUGCAUUAGCUAGUUGGUAAGGUAACGGCUUACCAAGGCAACGAUGCAUAGCCGACCUGAGAGGGUGAUCGGCCACACUGGAACUGAGACACGGUCCAGACUCCUACGGGAGGCAGCAGUAGGGAAUCUUCCGCAAUGGGCGAAAGCCUGACGGAGCAACGCCGCGUGAGUGAUGGAGGUCUUCGGAUCGUAAAACUCUGUUAUUAGGGAAGAACAUAUGUGUAAGUAACUGUGCACAUCUUGACGGUACCUAAUCAGAAAGCCACGGCUAACUACGUGCCAGCAGCCGCGGUAAUACGUAGGUGGCAAGCGUUAUCCGGAAUUAUUGGGCGUAAAGCGCGCGUAGGCGGUUUUUUAAGUCUGAUGUGAAAGCCCACGGCUCAACCGUGGAGGGUCAUUGGAAACUGGAAAACUUGAGUGCAGAAGAGGAAAGUGGAAUUCCAUGUGUAGCGGUGAAAUGCGCAGAGAUAUGGAGGAACACCAGUGGCGAAGGCGACUUUCUGGUCUGUAACUGACGCUGAUGUGCGAAAGCGUGGGGAUCAAACAGGAUUAGAUACCCUGGUAGUCCACGCCGUAAACGAUGAGUGCUAAGUGUUAGGGGGUUUCCGCCCCUUAGUGCUGCAGCUAACGCAUUAAGCACUCCGCCUGGGGAGUACGACCGCAAGGUUGAAACUCAAAGGAAUUGACGGGGACCCGCACAAGCGGUGGAGCAUGUGGUUUAAUUCGAAGCAACGCGAAGAACCUUACCAAAUCUUGACAUCCUUUGACAACUCUAGAGAUAGAGCCUUCCCCUUCGGGGGACAAAGUGACAGGUGGUGCAUGGUUGUCGUCAGCUCGUGUCGUGAGAUGUUGGGUUAAGUCCCGCAACGAGCGCAACCCUUAAGCUUAGUUGCCAUCAUUAAGUUGGGCACUCUAAGUUGACUGCCGGUGACAAACCGGAGGAAGGUGGGGAUGACGUCAAAUCAUCAUGCCCCUUAUGAUUUGGGCUACACACGUGCUACAAUGGACAAUACAAAGGGCAGCGAAACCGCGAGGUCAAGCAAAUCCCAUAAAGUUGUUCUCAGUUCGGAUUGUAGUCUGCAACUCGACUACAUGAAGCUGGAAUCGCUAGUAAUCGUAGAUCAGCAUGCUACGGUGAAUACGUUCCCGGGUCU